rnacentral:lncRNA from 1 species
UUCGUCCCCUUCUGUGUCUAUAUAUGAAUGUGCUUGAAUUAAUGGAUCAGGUGUAUUUGCUUUUCUUAUUACUACAAGAAAUAAUAGAGCAUGUCAUAACUCAACUUGCAAUGUAAUUUCAAACGAAAAGUUGCAUGUUGUUCCUGAAGGAUGAAACCAUGCUAGAUUAAUUUCUUGAGCUGACCACCACUAUAUCUUUUUAUAUAUAUUUAUUGCAUGAGGUUUAUGUCGAGGUAAUGUGGGAUCUAUGGAAUUGUGUGUUGAUGUGGAUGACUGAGCAUGCUGUUUAUUUUGUAUGCAGUACAUUGUGAGAGGAGGAAGAAAUUUGUUCAAGCUGUUGCCUGAUGCAUUCAAGGGUAUCAAGCAUAUUGGGGUGAUCGGAUGGGGCUCCCAAGUAUAUUUAUCUGUUGAUUGCUCCACAAUUUUUUAUUUUUAUUGAAUUUAUUUCUUGUCCAGUCGUAUCUUUUAUCCCUCAUUGAUUUAUCUUGUGCAUUCUUUGGUUAAUUUUGUUGUGCUUAGCAAUUGAAUUAGCCACUAUUCUGUUUCGAUUGUGAAAUUUCUUAAUUAGAAUACUCAUUCAAGUGAUGGUCAUUGGUUUCUAUGCUAAUGCUCCUUUGUUGUUUUUUUUUUCCUAAAGAGUUUCCGUUCAUACUUUUAUGUUAGGUUAAUAAAGUUUGAAAAGGAAUGAAAUGCAUAUUGUAUCAUAUGUGACUCUUCACCAAACCAUCUGUUUUUCUGUUCCAAAAAUGCCUUGGGAAAUGAUAUUGGAAUAUUGGUGGAAAAAUGUUCAAGUCAAUCCUGUCAUAACUGCGGUCUAGCGCACUUGGCGUCCUGCGUCCCAAUCAUUGAUGCAUUGAAAUGUGGACAUCUUCCCUUUCUCGAGCUUUAUUUUUUAAUUAUAGUGAAUUUGCGUCUGCAUAAAAGUCAAACCGCUCUCUUGAUGUUCUACUGAUUUCUGUCAAGAUAAUAUGAACUCUUUUGCCUUUGUGUAGGGACCAGCUCAAGCUCAGAACUUAAGGGAUUCUCUUGCUGAAGCAAAAUCUGAUAUUGUGGUCAAGGUAAUUUGUUAUUUUUUCUACUUUUGUCAUAUUCUCAAGAAAUAAUGUGAGUUUUUCCUCACAUGAAGCUUGUCCUCAUAUUGUUCAUGCAGAUUGGUUUGAGGAAGGGUUCUUCCUCAUUCGCUGAGGCUCGUGCUGUUGGGUUUUCUGAAGAAAAUGGAACCCUGGGGGACAUAUGGGACACAGUCUCUGGCAGUGAUUUGGUGCUGCUCUUGAUAUCCGAUGCAGCUCAGGUAUCAAAUUGCCCUGUUUAUUUAGCCAUGAGGGAUUUGGUGUCAUCCUUUUUACGUGGCUCACUCUGUAUCUAAAAAUUAAUGCUUGAAUUUUUCGUUUGGUGUAAAAAAUGAUUUUUACAGGAAUUAGUAAAUGAGAGUGUGUCUCCUCUUUUUUUUUUGUUAUCAAUCAUUUUAUCAGCUUCUGAGUUUUUUCCAUUUGAAUACUGAUUAAAAUGUUACAAAAUUUGUUCAUCUUAAUUUUAUGGGAUAACUCAUUCUUAAUUUUGUCAUUCGUUGCAGGCUGAUAAUUAUGAGAAAGUGUUCUCCUACAUGAAACCUAAUAGCGUACUUGGACUUUCCCAUGGAUUCCUUUUGGGCCAUUUGCAGUCAUUGGGCCUUGACUUUCCAAAAAACAUCAGCGUGAUAGCUGUAUGUCCGAAGGGAAUGGGACCCUCUGUGAGAAGGCUAUAUGUGCAGGGGAAAGAAAUCAAUGGUGCUGGCAUUAAUUCGAGUUUUGCUGUCCACCAGGUUUGUGCAUCUUUGAGUUUGUGGAACGUGUAGUGGGAAUGUAUGCACAUUUGAGGUUCUUGAUACAUGAGAUAUGAUGGUUUUUGGCAUUCAUGUUUAGGAUGUUGAUGGCAGAGCUACAGAUGUUGCCCUUGGAUGGUCAGUUGCCCUUGGUUCUCCUUUUACUUUUGCCACUACUUUGGAGCAAGAGUACAAGAGUGAUAUUUUUGGGGAGAGAGGUAAGAGUAGUUUUUAAUUUCACUAAUUUCUUUUUGACUCGACAAUGAAUCCUUAAUGUCAACUUUCUGAUCAAUAGGCAUUUUACUCGGUGCUGUACAUGGUAUUGUGGAAUCAUUGUUCAGGAGAUACACUGAAAAUGGAAUGAGCGAGGAUCUUGCCUACAAGAACACUGUGGAGUGCAUAACAGGAACUAUUUCUAGAACUAUAUCAACAAAGGUUAGUUUUACUAGCAUUAGUUUUUCAUCCUACUUUAUCCACUCUUGCUAUAUAUCUGUUGUUUCAUACUUUAUUUGAUCCUUUCCACUACUUUUUGUGCUUGAUGUAUCUCCUAAUUCAUUUUUUAUGUUGAAUUUUGUGAUAGGGUAUGCUGGCUGUCUACAAUUCAUUGACUGAAGAUGGAAAAAAGGAGUUUGAGACUGCAUAUAGCGCUUCAUAUUAUCCCUGCAUGGACAUCUUAUACGAGUGCUAUGAAGAUGUAGCCAGUUGCAGUGAGAUCAGGAGUGUCGUCUUGGCUGGACGUCGCUUUUAUGUAAGAUUCUAUUUCUAUUUUCACAAUUUAAGCAUUGUGAUUUAUUUAUUUUUAUCGUUCUUUUUUCUCUUCUUCCAUGCAGGAGAAGGAAGGUUUACCAGCUUUUCCGAUGGGGAACAUCGACCAGACACGAAUGUGGAAAGUUGGUGAGAAAGUUCGAGCAGCACGUCCAGCAGGUGACUUGGGACCUUUGUAUCCUUUCACUGCAGGUGUCUAUGUGGCAUUGAUGAUGGCUCAGGUGUGGAUUCUUUCAGAUCUUAACUUAAAUUUAUUUCUUAUUUACGUGCUUCUUAAAUAGCAUAUUCUAGUUCUACGCAGACUAGAAGUGAGAUUACCAUGUGAAAUCUGUGUUGCUGAUAGUAGUAAUCGCAGACUGUUAAUUGGUUGAUCUGAAAGAGUGAAAGUGGUAAUGCAUACUUAUGUUUGAUCUCUGCUCAAAUGCAUGUUGCUCGAAUUUGUUUCAAGUGUCUAUUCAGUUUACUUCAGCAAGACGAAUGAUAUUUUAGCUGGAAAAAAUGGAUUAGCAAAUAUAUUUUGUUGCACCUUUUAACUGAUGAUAAUAUCCCUGAAAUUACUCUGAAUGUGAAUGUAGAUUGAGAUUCUAAGGAAGAAAGGGCACUCCUACUCAGAGAUUAUCAACGAGAGUGUCAUUGAGUCUGUGGAUUCUUUGAAUCCUUUCAUGCAUGCUCGAGGCGUUUCAUUCAUGGUUGACAAUUGUUCAACAACAGCACGGCUAGGAUCGAGGAAGUGGGCCCCUCGUUUUGACUACAUUCUCACGCAGCAGGCUUUGGUAGCAGUGGAUAAAGGUGCUCCCAUUAACCAAGAUCUCAUUAGCAACUUCCUAUCAGAUCCUGUACAUGGAGCUAUUGAAGUAUGUGCCCAAUUGAGACCUACUGUGGACAUAUCAGUGCCCCCGGAUGCUGAUUUUGUCCGUCCUGAGUUGCGUCAGUCGAGCAACUGAGGUUUUGAAGUUCAAUCUCCUAAGAAGCUCUUCUCCAUGGAAUUGAGGAGAGAUUCUUCAAACCAAGCAGAGAUUUGAAGUAAUGUUUCGAGUGAGCCAGGUAUCCAGGUGUCUUAAAUUAAAGGUCCUUCGUGAUUUUCUCUAUCUCCUCUAGGAGGAUUAUGCAGUUAUAGUAGCAGAAUGGUCCUGUAUUUUAACGUAUCUUGCGUUAGUCGGGCUCUGUAUGUGUUUUGAGUUGGUAAUAUUGCAAUAAUCAGUUUUUAUUCUGAACAAUUGACUUGGAAGGUAUUAUGAGAGGGAAUAAUUCAUAUAUUUAAUUUAUGAUGUGGCGUUUUAGAGUAAGCAUCAACACGAGGACAUUUUAAGGGUGCGUUUGAUUAUCAAUAUUUUUUAUGAAAAUAUGUUUUUUUUAUCUAAAUUCCUA